rnacentral:rRNA from 1 species
CCCUUAGAUGUUCGGGGCCGCACGCGCGCUACACUGAAGGACUCAGCGUGUCUCUCCCCCUAUCCCGAAAGGGAUGGGCAACCCGUUGAACCGCCUUCGUGCUAGGGAUUGGGGUUUGCAAUUAUCCCCCAUGAACGAGGAAUUCCCAGUAAGCGCGAGUCAUCAGCUCGCGUUGAUUACGUCCCUGCCCUUUGUACACACCGCCCGUCGCUACUACCGAUUGGAUGGUUUAGUGAGACCCUCGGAUCGGUCCCGACUCGGGGUGGGCUUCUGCCCCGGUCGUGGUUUCGCCGAGAAGACGGUCAAACUUGACUAUCUAGAGGAAGUAAAAGUCGUAACA